rnacentral:rRNA from 1 species
UACGGAGGUGGCAAGCGUUGCUCGGAAUCACUGGGCGUAAAGGGCGCGUAGGCGGGGAGGCCAGUCGGGUGUGAAAUCCCUCGGCCCAACCGAGGAACUGCGCCCGAGACUGCUUCACUUGAGUCCCGGAGAGGAAGAUGGAAUUCCCGGUGUAGCGGUGAAAUGUGUAGAGAUCGGGAGGAACACCGGUGGCGAAGGCGGUCUUCUGGACGGUGACUGACGCUGAGGCGCGAAAGCGUGGGGAGCAAACGGG